UAGAUAACCGGAUUUCCGGUUCCGGUUAUCGGAUCGAAUCAAAUCCGGUCCAAAAUCCGGAUGGUAGAAAACUGGAUUAAUCCGGACCGAGUACCGGGUUUUAAAUCCGAACCCGGUACCCGGGUUAUAAAAGGAAAGGUUACCAUUUACGCCCGGGUAGGGUUUUCAAAUUUCGUUUGUGUUGAUUUCUGCUGCUUGAGUAGCCGCUCCCCACCCCCACCUCGAGAGAUUUCUCCCAAAUUUCCCUCCUCUCUCUCUCGAUCUUUCUCUCUGCUCUGCAAAUUUUAAGACGACGGAAGACUGUCACACGUCCUCUGCCGAUCGAAGAUCUGUUACCCGCGGCCAUCUUCUUCUUUUUGUUUUUUUUUUCUUUUUCCAGAUUUGCAGAGGGUCCCAGACCAGUGGAUGCCGAUGGCUAUCGAGGAGAUCUCUCAACCCUAGCUACGAAACCCUAGCCGCCGCCGUGAUGAUCUCAACCCCCCAUCUCUUCGCCCACCAACACACUCAUACCCAUCAACUACAGGUUUUGCAAAUCUGGUUUGGGAUUUGUUGGUAAACGAUAUGGCUUAUGUGCCACUUUUUCUCACAGUUGCAUGGGGGGUAUGGAAAUCUGUGUUUAUUUCAGCACAAUGACUCUAUAGUGAAGUUUACUCUCAUGGACUCCACCAGUAAGGGAAAUACAUGGAGGAUUCUGCCUUCCAAGAUGAUGGUACUGAAUUCUAUUCAAGAUGAUGGCUAGUUGGGAAGGUGCUGCAGGUUGUGGAGCACUGGAGGCAAUAAAGCUGAGUGGAGGAUGAUUCCUUUGUGUUUGUUUUGGUGUUUAUGGCUUGAGAGAAACGGGAGGUGCUUCCAAGAUAUCUGCACAUUUUUGUCGAUUAUAUCUCCAAUGGCAUCAUUUUUAUAGACUUCAUAUCUCAUAAAAAUAUCUUGUAAUUUUAUAUUUUGUAAUGUAAUAUAAUAUG